CGAACGCUGGCGGCAGGCCUAUACAUGCAAGUCGAACGGCUCUUCGGAGCAGUGGCGGACGGGUGAGUAACGCGUGGGAAUGUGCCCUUAGGUACGGAACAACACAGGGAAACUUGUGCUAAUACCGUAUGUGCCCUUCGGGGGAAAGAUUUAUCGCCUUUGGAGCAGCCCGCGUUGGAUUAGGUAGUUGGUGAGGUAAAGGCUCACCAAGCCGACGAUCCAUAGCUGGUCUGAGAGGAUGACCAGCCACACUGGGACUGAGACACGGCCCAGACUCCUACGGGAGGCAGCAGUAGGGAAUCUUGCGCAAUGGGCGAAAGCCUGACGCAGCCAUGCCGCGUGUAUGAUGAAGGUCUUAGGAUUGUAAAAUACUUUCACCGGGGAAGAUAAUGACGGUACCCGGAGAAGAAGCCCCGGCUAACUUCGUGCCAGCAGCCGCCGCGG
rnacentral:rRNA from 1 species